AAUGAAAUUAGUGUCUCGUGCUUGGAAAGCAGCUAUUGUAAGUGCUGAACUGUUCAAUGUGAGAAAAGAACUUGGAACAACUGAGGAGUGGCUCUAUAUAUUAAUGAAAGUUGAAGAUGAAAAAUAUUUAUGGUAUGCCUUGGAUCCAUUGUCCCGAAGGUGGCAAAGGUUGCCGACAAUGCCUGGUGUUUCAUUUGAAGAUGAGCCCAAGAAGGGUUUGGCUGCGCUUCGAAUGUGGAAUGUAGUGGGUUCGAGUAUCAAAAUUGCAGACACGGUUAUGAGUUGGCUUAGAAAGAAGGGGACACUGGACCGAUUACCCUUUCAUGGCAGUGCUGUUGGAGCUAUUGAUGGUUGCCUCUAUGUGUUAGGGGGACUCUCUAAAGCUUCAGCCAUGAGAAAUGUGUGGCAGUAUAAUCCUAUUCUAAAUGCUUGGAGUGAGAUGAAUCCAAUGUCCAUUGGUAGAGCUUUUUGUAAGACAGGCAUCUUAAACAACAAGCUUUAUGUUGUUGGAGGAGUUACUAAAGGCCGUGGUGGACUGACCUCACUUCAAUCUGCAGAAGUGUUUGAUCCUCGUACUGGUGUCUGGUCCGAAAUUCCAAGCAUGCCUUUUUCAAAGGCUCAGGUAUUGCCUACUGCUUUUCUGACAGAUUUGCUCAAGCCCAUUGCAACAGGAAUGACAUCAUACAGAGGAAGGUUAUUUGUGGCUCAGAGUUUAUAUUGCUGGCCUUUUUUUGUUGUUUUUGUUGAUGUUGGCGGAGAGGUUUAUGAUCCGGAGUUGAAUUCUUGGGAUGAAAUGCCAAAUGGAAUGGGUGAAGGUUGGCCAGUAAAGCAGGCAGGAACAAAACUGAGUGU
rnacentral:misc_RNA from 1 species